rnacentral:rRNA from 1 species
GACGAACGCUGGCGGCGUGCUUAACACAUGCAAGUCGAACGGAAAGGCCCCUUUGGGGGUACUCGAGUGGCGAACGGGUGAGUAACACGUGCGUAACCUGCCCUUGACUUCGGGAUAACUUCAGGAAACUGGGGCUAAUACCGGAUAGGAAUCCUUGCUGCAUGGUGGGGGUUGGAAAGCUUCGGCGGUUUUGGAUGGACUCGCGGCUUAUCAGCUUGUUGGUGGGGUAGUGGCUUACCAAGGCUUUGACGGGUAGCCGGCCUGAGAGGGCGACCGGCCACAUUGGGACUGAGAGACGGCCCAGACUCCUACGGGAGGCAGCAGUGGGGAAUAUUGCACAAUGGGCGGAAGCCUGAUGCAGCAACGCCGCGGGCGGGAUGACGGUCUUCGGGUUGUAAACCGCUUUCAGCAGGGGCGAAGCUUGUGGUGACGGUACCUGCAGAAGAAGCACCGGCUAACUACGUG